UUAUUUUUCCUCUAGCAUUUAGGAUAUGCUCACCCCCUCACUCUCCACUAUCAUUUUAUAUUCUGCAUUGUCCUCAGUUCUAAAUAAUGGUUUACUUGGUACAGGAACCAAAGUUAAAUCCUCUCCUUGAAAUAAAAGAUAGGGAAGUAAUAAAUGGAAAUCUGUAUCACCCAAAUCCCAUGUAAGUUCUAAUUUUCAGAGAUAUAGCUUAUCCUUUCUGUAGUCAAUAUAGAAGUCAUUAACUACCAUAGUCUAUGCAGUUAGCACUAGAGAGCUACUCUGGAAGGACUAGACUUGGAAAAGAAUAGCAGAAUAUGAACCAUGAUAAAGGCACUACAGAGAAUAAGGGAUGUCUUUUUCCCUUCUGCAGAAGCCACCAUCUUGGAUAUUAAAAGGUAUAGCGGGGACUUCUGAUUCUCUUAUGCCCUACUCUGCAGUGGGUACUUGAGAACAGAGGGGUUUCUUUCCUGACCCAGGAAGUUCAAAAGAUUUUGACACAUCGGUUGUUGAAGAAUACCGAGGUGAGAUUUUAUUUAUUUAUUUGAAGAGAGAGACACAGUGAGAGAGGGAACACAAGCAGGGGGAGUGGGAGAAGGAGAAGCAGGCUUCCCGCCGAGCAGGGAGCCCGAUGCGGGGCUCGAUCCUAGGACCCCGGGAUCAUGACCUGAGCCGAAGGCAGACGCUUAACGACUGAGCCACCCAGGCACCCCAGGUGUUGGGAAGAGAGGCUGUGAACCCACUUCAUUCAGCCAUUUCUACCUCUGCAGUCCGGAUGGAGGACGUGUGUUCCCACUGUGCUCUGGUGGCUUGGAGGAAGGGUCUCAUUCACACUCACCUGCCGUGUCACGCAGGAAAGCUGUACCCUGAGGCAAUCUGGGAAUGGCAUAAGUUUCAGGUCCCAUGAAAGUUACAUCAUACACCUUCUGUGAUUAUACACCUUCAGUGACUAAAGAAUGAAGUAUUGAAGAGUUUAAAGAGAAGAUUCAUUUGUAUCCCCUUGCCUCAAGCCAAAUAACCACAAGGCAAG